GAUGAGGACCUCGGCAUAGGCCUUGGCCAUCUUUUGUUUGCUUUUAAAUGUUUCCCUGACCUCCGCGCACCGCUGCUUCAGCUAAGGCCCGGAGACUGGGCAAGAUGUUCUCAUCUGCCACCAACUCCGGCUGGUUUCCAGCCUCAGGCACCAGAUUUUAGUGUGCUUAUAGGACUUAAGCCCUCCGUUUGGACCCUGGCUCUGUCUUUUGGAAACUGUGUGACCUCAGACAACUCACCUAACCUCUCUGGGCCACCAUUUUCUCAAGUGAACAUUGGGGCAAUCUUGGGUCCUUGUGGGGCAUCAAUGAGAUGGUAUUUGCAGCCUUUGCAUAGGGUUGGGAUGCGUUCUUAAUAAACACCUGCCACCUCCUCUCCCUAUGCCUAUUGGGCUCAGAAGCCAGGGCCAGGUGUUCCCAAGAGGACUAUGGAAACCUCGUCUCCCAUUGUCAGUGUAUUUUCUGAAUCUGGGGUUAUGAGGCCUGUGGCCUAAGAUGUGGGCUGCAAUGGUGAAGACCGGAAGGUUCAGAAACCACUUUCAGGGAGUGGGUCCAAUGAGGACAUGGACUGGCGCAGUUGUCCUGUGUGCUUCCUCCUCACAGGAGGAAGUGGGCUGGUCCCUUCUAGAUGCCAGCAUCUGCCCUGUGUGGUUUCAUUUCGUCUUCACCAUCGCUCUGAGGAGUCGGCCUUAUCGGUCUCACUUUUGGAUGAAGCUCAGAGAGAGGCUGACAUUUCCUGGACCGCCCAAGUUAUUCCCGCAGAGGGGAGACUUGAACUCAGUGCAUAUCCCUCAAGACCAGGCACCUUCCACCACCUUCCACCUGGGUCACCAGGCCGUCAUUUCCAUCCCUCUCUCUGCCACACAGGAUCCGCACAGCUGCAGUGUUGCCUCAUCGAAGUUGCCAACCCCGAGGGGCGGCCUUCACCCCGUCUGCUAACUUCCUCAGUUCCUCUUUUGGGCAUGUGCCUGUCCCUCUGCAUUCCCGUGGCUGUGUGGAAGUGGACCAAGGCUGGGAGGGUGACUCAGAGGGGAAGCCCCUGUGCAGAGGCUCCCAGCAGCUCCUGGUUGCUUAAGGGCUGGUUCGGAGGAGGGUGCAGAUCAGCCGAUGAAUCACAGUGAGUGCACGUGGCUCCAGUGGGCCAGGCCUUCCUUGCUUAGGCUGAGAAGGAUUGCACAGCAAUGCUAAAUGAAUCAGCAGCGCCUGGCCCCCAGGUCCGUGGGAGGAGGAGGGUGUGUGUUACACAUUUCCAGAGUACUGGACUGUGAGCUCUGGGGUCUGGGAGUGGGGGCCUGGGGUGACUCAAAGGGCCUCCCUCCCCCACCUGAGCCCCAAACACUUGAUCAUCAUGGAGCAGCCAUGUGGACCCACUGAAGACAUGGAAACGCUGAGCCUGUGCGGCCCAAUGCAGUUGCUUUGGAAGGGAGACACACAGGCUUUGAACACAGAAGUUCUGAAGGCCUUCUCUUAACUGGGUGGCCCGAGUGAGAAAUCUGAUGUCUGUUAAGGAGUGGGGAGGCCCUUCCUGCUCCCUCAAGCUCAAACGCAGAGCCAUGAGACUUUGAAAUUGCGCCAUACUGG
ensembl:lncRNA